rnacentral:rRNA from 1 species
UCCUACGGGAGGCAGCAGUGGGGAAUUUUGGACAAUGGGCGAAAGCCUGAUCCAGCAAUGCCGCGUGUGUGAAGAAGGCCUUCGGGUUGUAAAGCACUUUUGUCCGGAAAGAAAUCCUUGGCUCUAAUACAGUCGGGGGAUGACGGUACCGGAAGAAUAAGCACCGGCUAACUACGUGCCAGCAGCCGCGGUAAUACGUAGGGUGCGAGCGUUAAUCGGAAUUACUGGGCGUAAAGCGUGCGCAGGCGGUUUGCUAAGACCGAUGUGAAAUCCCCGGGCUCAACCUGGGAACUGCAUUGGUGACUGGCAGGCUAGAGUAUGGCAGAGGGGGGUAGAAUUCCACGUGUAGCAGUGAAAUGCGUAGAGAUGUGGAGGAAUACCGAUGGCGAAGGCAGCCCCCUGGGCCAAUACUGACGCUCAUGCACGAAAGCGUGGGGAGCAAACAGGAUUAGAUACCCUGGUAGUCCACGCCCUAAACGAUGUCAACUAGUUGUUGGGGAUUCAUUUCCUUAGUAACGUAGCUAACGCGUGAAGUUGACCGCCUGGGGAGUACGGUCGCGAGAUUAAAACUCAAAGGAAUUGACGGGGACCCGCACAAGCGGUGGAUGAUGUGGAUUAAUUCGAUGCAACGCGAAAAACCUUACCUACCCUUGACAUGGUCGGAAUCCCGCUGAGAGGUGGGAGUGCUCGAAAGAGAACCGGCGCACAGGUGCUGCAUGGCUGUCGUCAGCUCGUGUCGUGAGAUGUUGGGUUAAGUCCCGCAACGAACGCAACCCUUGUCCUUAGUUGCUACGCAAGAGCACUCUAAGGAGACUGCCGGUGACAAACCGGAGGAAGGUGGGGAUGACGUCAAGUCCUCAUGGCCCUUAUGGGUAGGGCUCCACACGUCAUACAAUGGUCGGAACAGAGGGUUGCCAACCCGCGAGGGGGAGCUAAUCCCAGAAAACCGAUCGUAGUCCGGAUUGCACUCUGCAACUCGAGUGCAUGAAGCUGGAAUCGCUAGUAAUCGCGGAUCAGCAUGCCGCGGUGAA